CGCAGUUAUUCAUAGUCGCAAAUUUUUCCACUUUUUUAAUUUCCCUGUCUUACUAUUUCACGCUGGCCGCGGACAUUAAAAUAAGACAACAAGAGGAAAACCGGAUCAGUGAGAGAAAACUAUUAGGAAAUAGGGCUACGGAUAAAAAAAAACAAAGAAACAAAAAAAUAAAAUAUAUUAACUGCAGGUUGAAAUUCAGACAAAAAAAUAUCAGAAACAGAAGCAAAGCGACUGUAAAAUUAAGCUGCAGAGGAAAAAUAACUGCAGGUUAAAAUUCAGACGAUAAAA